rnacentral:rRNA from 1 species
CCAUUCCGAACCCGGCAGUUAAGCCCCCCAGCGCCGAUGAUACUGUGCCGGCAGCGGCACGGGAAAGUAGGUCGGUGCCGGGG